CAACAUAACAUAACAACUGCUGCUUUAAACGGUUUAUUAAAAGUUCUAAAAUCAAAUAUACCUGACUUGCCAGCAGAUGCUAGGACGUUAAAACAAACCCCUAACGAAAUUAUAGCUAGAAAAAUGGGACCAGGUGAAUAUGUUCACUACGGACUUAUCGAUUGUUUGACAGACUUCUUAGAAGGUAAUGUUUUUAAGGAUAGAACAAUCCUUCUUAAUAUAAAUAUAGAUGGAUUGCCUCUUUGUAAGAGCUCGCGAUUACAAGCAUGGCCCAUUUUAGUAAUAAUUCACGGCACUUCUGUUGUACUGAUGGUAGGUACUUAUGAAGGUAUAAGUAAGCCUCAAAAUGUUAAUGAGUAUUUGCAAUUUUUCAUUGAAGAAGUUUGCCAAUUAAUUAAUGAAGGGAUUAGUUAUAAAUCGAACUUUUAUGAAGUAAAAUUCAGGGCCGUUAUAUGCGACGCACCAGCAAGAUCCUUUGUUUUAGGUGUCAAAAGUCAUAGCGCAUACUUUAGUUGCAUAAAAUGCCAACAAAAAGGCAAACAUUUCGAAAAUAGGAUUACUUAUGAGUUGGAAAAUUCUAUGCUUAGAACUGAUGAGCAGUUCCGAAAUAGAUGUGAUCCCAACCAUCAUAACGUAAUGACUAAAAUGGCUAUUGAGCAGUUACCUAUUAAUAUUGUGACUCAAACUGCAUAUGACUACAUGUACAUUAUUUGCCUGGGUGUCGUUAAAACUCUACUUAAUUCAUGGAUUUCCGUAAGACGGAAGAAAUAUUCUCUAACAAAGGAGAAGAUCGAAAUAUUAAAACAGCGUUUACUUUUAUUGAAACCAAAUAUAUCAAAAGAAUUCUCGAGAAAACCAAGGCAAUUUUGUGACUUAGACAGAUGGAAAGCUGUUGAAUUUAGACAAUUUUUAAUUUACACUGGUCCUGUCAUAUUAAAAGAUAUUUUAUCUGACCUUCGCUACAAGCAUUUUUUAAAAUUGAGCUUGGCUAUAAGGAUUUUACUUCAUAAGAGCCAUUGCUUAACUAACAAUAGUUGUGCGAGGGAACUUAUUACUGAUUUUAUAAACGAAGUACCCGAUCUUUAUGACAUAGCAUUGCUCAAAUAUAACUUUCAUUGCCUUUUGCAUCUACCUGACGAAGUUCUAAAUUUUCGUGAAAACCUGGACACGUUUAGUGCCUUUAAAUUUGAGAAUCACUUGUAUAAAGUCAAGCAAAUGGUUAGGAAGGGAAACUUUGUUGCGUCUCAAAUAUAUAAUCUUCUCGUUGAGCAAAGCCUGCAAGUCACCAGAGAAGAAUGCUCAACUCUAAGUUUGGAAAUAAACGCUGAAGGCGAACUAUUAUCCGUAACCAGUCACAAUAUGUUUUGGUCAAAAAAGUUCCCAGACAAUUUUUACAUUUUUGACGGCAAAAUUUUUAAGAUCCAGUCCUUUUCAAUUUACGAAGAUAAAUUGGUUCAUUCAAAUGAAGUGUUGAAUUUAAAAGAUUAUUUUGAAAUACCCUUAAAGUCAAGCCUAUUAAAUAUAAAAUGCUCUGAUUCACUGUUAUAUGAUUUAAAAACAAUAAUUCAUUCUUGUUCACAACUAAAAGAAAAGUGUUUACUUUUGUAAAGUAAUUUUGGACCAGUUAAUGUUUUUGUACCUCUCGUACACAACGCAUAAUGUCUGAAAAAACGUAUAACUUCCUAAAAGAUUCCCAACUGGGCAGGAACCAUUUUUUGCCUUUAACAAUGAUUCAGGAAUCUCAACCAGUUCAAAAGCAAACUACGCAAAUAACUCCAAUAAACACUCUGCUUCCUCUAAAUACGCUGACUUCGUUGGAAUCUUCGAUGAAGACAGUGCUUUUAGGAAAACCGUCUAAUUUGGAAUCUAAAAUGGAUACCUGCCUCAAAGAAAUAAUUUGCCUAAAAAAUGAAAAUCAAGGAAAACGAAAUCUUUUUGAUUGGCAUCCCCGAGUGCGGAAAAUUUGUGAGAGCUGUUUGGAAACGUUUAGUCAUCGAUGAAGUUGCUUGCCAAAUAACAUGGAAAAAUGUUGAUAAUAAAAUUUCGCUUCAAAAUUUAGCCAUAACUGCUGCGUUUAAAGAAGCCUAUUUCAGAAAAUUUUCUAACGAGGCGGAUUUUAAGAAAUUUACAACAAAAUGGUUUCAAACUGCACGGGACCGUGUUAACUAUAAAGCAAAACAAAUCAAACUAUAAAUU
rnacentral:misc_RNA from 1 species